UACGUAGGGUGCAAGCGUUGUCCGGAAUUACUGGGCGUAAAGAGCUCGUAGGUGGUUUGUCGCGUUGUUCGUGAAAACUCACAACUCAAUUGUGGGCGUGCGGGCGAUACGGGCAGACUGGAGUACUGCAGGGGAGACUGGAAUUCCUGGUGUAGCGGUGGAAUGCGCAGAUAUCAGGAGGAACACCGGUGGCGAAGGCGGGUCUCUGGGCAGUAACUGACGCUGAGGAGCGAAAGCAUGGGGAGCGAACAGG
rnacentral:rRNA from 1 species